rnacentral:lncRNA from 1 species
UUAACAAUAAAAAAUAAAUAGAAAAGAGGCAAAAAAAAAGAAACUUACAUGGCCCAUCUCUACCCACGAACGCAACAGAAUCCGUGUGUGCGUCCUUCAAUCCCGCUGCCACGACCUUCCGCUGCCCAUCCAUGGCGCCGUUGGGCUAGCUUCUCCCGCACCCCAGCGCUGCCUAGUCCGCCCUGCCAAUCUCCACCGCGGCGGACUGCCAUAUCCGCCCUGCCAAUCUCCACCGCGGCGGACUGCCAAAUCCGCCCGCUAGGCCGCCGUCGUGCUAGCACCUCUUGCAUCCUCGUGCAAAUCUUCAUCGCAAUGGGAUUUCUCCACGCCGCCACCUUGCCCACUCCUUUGCAAAAGGAUCAUACGAGUUGAAGGCCUCUCGUACCCCAUUGGAUCUAGGCAAGAAGAAGGUGUCAGGGGUGCCACCGUCGGCAACGCUGUACAUGCGUCCGCUUCAGUAAUUUCAGCAACGUCGCCGCUAGCUUCUCCGCCAACACAUAGCCCUAUCAGUGGUAAUCAAUCGAUUCUCUUGUUUAAUUUCAGCAACCACCAUAAAAGUUUGAAAAUGAAGUCAGCCUAGCUAUGGUCGAUUUUUAUGUAUGAAUCUGACACUAAUCGUAUUAUGCAAGAGACACUGGUUAAUAUUUUUGCUGACAUGUUAGGGUGUUAAAUUAGUCUUAAAUUUCAAUCUGGUAUUGCAGAUGAUCACAUAUGUUUACUGUUUCUUGUUCAAUGAUGUCUUAUCAUAUUCGUUUGAACUGAACCAAACAGAACACACAAAAGCACUGAAAUUUUCUCUAUCGUACAUAUUGAUGUUCCAUAGUUUGAGGUGACUAAGCUGGGACUAAAGAAGCUUUAACACUUCAGCCGUCCUACGAUCAUCUAAUAAAUGGUCACGAGAUAAUCUACUUUUUGCUCCCAGGUGUAUGCUUUGUGGCAUAAGCCCAAGCACUUGCAUCUACGCACAUAGAACAACACUGUUCCAUUCUUCCACAAGCAGCUAAACUGUUCUGCUCGUCCUUUCAAUUGUCAGGGUGAUGGUAUGUGUUUGCCUUUUAUUUCUCAAUUCAGCUUUAAAUAUCUUUGAUUUUUUCCUGCAUAGGCAAUACUAAAUGGAGUCUCUUAUAUUAUUUCCUUUUUUUCUUAGUUCUAGAGACACUCAUUAGAUUAGGGAGACAGAAGGAGAAAGGAACAGGGGAAAUGUUCCUUCAGUUCAUCGUCAAUUCUGUUUACUAGUGGGACUUAUUUUCUUGCUACGGAUCCAGACACCACUAUCCAGCCAUAUUAAGGUGCUUUUAUUCCUUGUGUUGAUCAUUUUUAAGCAGUAAUCUGCUGAUGCUUCCAGAAUAUCUAAUCUUGAAAGAACUUUGUGUCUGAAUCAAUCUUUUGUGGAACCAUAAUGUGUUCCUUAGUAUGAUAAUAUUGGUCUCUUUUAUUGAUAUAGAAGUAAGCUGUUUUUUUUGAAUGAUAUAAGUAAGGUGUUUGUAAUGUCCUUUUUAGAUUCUAGAGACCAUGAAUCUAUCUGAUGUACUGGUUAUUAACUUGGCAACGGAAUGCAGUAGCAUAUGUACUAAUCAUUUCCUUUUGUAGUAUUUCAAUCCGUGUGAACUAGGGCCACCAAUAUCUUUUCGCCCGUGGUCCCCUAAUAUCGGUGGACCGGCUUUUGCGAAUGUUAUUUGCCAACUCAAUUGGAAAUCAUGUUGAUGAUUAUAUUUUCACAAAGAAAUCAAACCAGUUUGGUUUUAAAUACAAGAAGCAUUUAAAUAGCAUAUAGAACCAGUUCUUCCAAAAAAGGAGGAAGCAACAACUUAAAAUCCCUUUUCCUGUUUUCUCAGAAUAAAUAGAUAUGCCGUGUAUGCAGACCAGUCCACUAAUUAUUUAUUUUUCAUUGCAAACACCUUUCUAUACAUGCUUUUAAUUUUUCAUUCAAGUGGCUCCACAUUUCCUCCAGGAUAGUGUUGUUUGGAAGGAGUAUAUUUCCGGUAUGGUCACUACAAGAUAUAUGCGAACUUACGACCUUCAAUAUUUGUCAUCGAACGGUCGUUGGUUUCCAUUUGCGACCUUUUUACGACCAAAAACAGAAGGUCAAAAGCUGAGGGUCUCUAAUAAACUAUAACGACCUUUCUGCUGGAAUCGUCGUAGAAUUUUACGACCAAACGAAAGCAUUGAAAUUAUUUUGGUCGUUGGUUGUCUGCCCAAGCCACAUCGAAUCCAACGUGGCAAGCUGACAUGGCAAAAUUUUGACCAACUGAAUUGGUCGUAGAUUAGAAUCAGCCUGGUCCAGUUCGGUCUUUUAGAUGGGCCGAGCCCAUUAAUUCAACCUUUUUAGUAUAUAUGUUUUCUAUUGAUUUUGGUUAGAUACAUGGGCCUCGCCCAACUUUUCAGCCUUUUUUUUGUUUUUGGGGCUGUGGGCUUUUAACAUUGUUUGGGCCAUUAUAUCUGGUCCCACCAAUAAGAUAGGUCCCACUUGUCAUAGUCUCACAUAUUGGGCCCACAUAAUAGAAAUUUCAAAACUGCUCAAAUUAUUUUCAUAACUAGGUCCCAUCAGCCAGGUUCCAAUUCACACGUUUCCAAAUCACAUACAUAAUCACUAUUAUAAACAAAACAGAACAAUUGUAAUUCAGAAAUGUACAAUAUUUCAUUCACAAACAGAGAAGAUACAUGAAAUUCCAGAGUUUACAUCAUGCAGAUAACCCAGCUAUCAAUACAUAACUUUUUAUACAAAAAUAUGUUAUCCCUUCUUUGAAUAUCUUUAGCCUGGCUUCACUUGUAUAAGAGAGAGAGCACUCGUCUUGAAGUUAGGCAAAAUAUCUGCCAACAAGAAAACAGAACAAUGAGGAUAGAGACACAUAAUUACCAUGAAGCAUUGCCACCGAGUAAAUGCUUUCAAGUAACAUGUUAGUUCAAUACUACUAUCCAAAGUAAAAGUAUUCCAAUAGUUUAGUACUAUUCCAAUAGUUCAAUACUGCUAGGAUACAUAAUAGGAGACACAAAAUUACCAAAAUAAAAGUAUUCCAAUAGUUCAGUACUGUUCCAAUAGUUCAAUAAUCUAGGCUAAAUAAUAGGAAAAAAUCAAAGCAACAGUUCUAGACUUGGUGUUAACAAACACAGAAUAUAAAUCAGUAGCAGAUUAAGCACCAAUUCUAUCAUAGAUGCAGGAAGAAGAUUAAGCACCAAUUCUGUCAUAUAAUUAGUAAAAUGCACAUGAAGAUGCAUGAGUAUGACUGAAAAAUAAAGAUGAAACUGUUGCGCAUCACCGGUAGUAUGGAAGCAGGGAAAUAGUGCACUGAACAACAAACAGUGGUACUUUUUUACACAGUAAUCACAUCUAUAUCAUACAGAUACUUUUUAUAAAUAAACAUAUUUCUUCAUCGGCCUAGAACUAGCACAAAUCAACUUGGCCCUCGACCAAGAUACUUCUCAAAAUGGGAACAUCUGAUUCUCCAAACUGGGACGGACCUUGAAUCUGUAUUAGACGACCAUAGCAUAUUGUAAUUAUGUUGUUCCUAACUGAUGAUGUUACCAUAAGAGCUAAGAUAGAAGAAACUACAUAAAACACUGCAGCAUUCCAUCACGAGUGUAGUGCUCGAACAACAUAGUUGCUGGAGUAGUUCACAAGGAUACCAGACCAGAUCAGAUCAGGGAUCGGACUCACCGUGCGCACUCCUCCACCUUGUCGUUGUUCUGGUUGUCGAGGAUGGCCAGUAUCAGGUUCCUGUUCUCGUCCAGGUAUUGCACACACAGUUCCAACAAGCUUAGUUUGAACAAGUGCAACCUCUCCUUGGCUCCAUCCAGGGCGUGUAGGUGCAAUGUUUUCUUAGGGUCGGCUGAAAGAAGGAACCGUUAAGCAAUGUUAGCACCCACUGCACAUUCAUAAAAAGAAAGCAUGGGAAAACAUUCCAACGGCCAAAAUAUGUUGAUUUUGAACUCCAACAAUCUAAAAGAUUUAUACUAAAAAAAAGGACUGAUGCAGGAACACACUAGCAACAGUAUUACGGGAAGUCUGUUCUGUAGUUUUAAAUUCACAAGUGAGAAAGGCUGCCCCUUGACUCUUCUGGACAUAGAUUUCUGAGCCCUGUUAUUGUUAUUGUUAUUGUCAAGCACUGUACUUGACCUUGCUCUGUUAUUGUCAAGUCAGAAAGGCUGCCCCUUAACAAAUUUAUGAGCCCUGUUAAGGUAAAGUGCGAGCUGGACAAGAAGACUCUUAUUCACAAGACUGUUAUUGUUAUUGUCAAGCACUGCUGCAGAUAGAUAACAAAUUUUAGUAAUUGAGCCAAUGGUUCUUAAAGGCGAGAUGAAAAAUCUAAACCUGUCGAGCAGUAUUGAACAAGAUAAACUAAUAAACAUAACACGGAUGAUGCUAUUAAAUUCAAAACCAAAUUCAUCAUAGAUCAAAAUGGGAUUUCUAAAGUGCAUUAUGCUGCAAACACCUAUUUUGUUUUUUGUAGUGUAUUGUGAAAAAUCUAAACCUGUCGAGCAGUAUUGAAUGUGUUGCCAUAGAUAUUUUGAAGUUUCUCCCUAGCAGGGACACUAUACGGAAUGACUUGGAAGGUGAAAUAUCCUGCUUUUUUUAUAGAAAAAUACAAAUAUUUCUUUUUUAUAGUGAAGCCAACACUGAUCAGCAAGAACUACACUAGACACGCACGACAGUAACAAGUUACAAACACUAUGAUGCUGUUGUUGGUUCUAUUUUCUACUGCAAUCAAUUGCAUCAAAGCUGGGCAAGUGGAUUGAGUAAUUCAGCGGUCUGCAGUCUGUACAAAAUCAGAAGGCACAGACACCACAUAAAUUUCUUAGUUGGCAUGCUUGACCAGAAAUCUAAAGGCAGUGACCAUGCAUAAUUGUUCCGACAAAUCCCACACAACCCUGAGGUCAGUAGCCACUAGUUCACUACCAAACACAGGGUCAUCAUAGAAGUGCACGUGCGGCGCGGAGGAAGAUUACGACACGCUGUUUAGCAGAGAGGCAGAGCGGUGUACCAUCCAUCACGACAUGGCUGGACUUUAGGGGAAGGGCGGCAACCGCAACACGGCCUGCUCCAUAUCCACGGGGUCAGACCACGAGAUCUGCACACCACCGGAGCAGCAGCUAGUCAGAACGAUCCGGCGGUAAAUCUGUGCAUGCGUGCGUGGCGGAGGACAGGCGGGCGGUAAAUCUGUGCGUGCAUGUUCUUGGAAAAGUGCUAUCAUUUAUGAAGAUUCAUGGCUUUCAAGCCAAAUGAUCAAUCUUAUGGCCACAUUCAUGACAUAGUUUCUUGAAAAUGAUAUAAUAUUAUGCACAAGGGUGCAUAUUGGAAUGACAAACAAUGUUGAUUAAGGAAUUUUUAUUUUCCUUAUGUGUAAAAUUCAUUUUCCAUUUUUCAAGUGUCCAAAAUGAAUUUUUUUGUGAAGGACCUACCAUAUAUUUGUUUCAAAAUUGUACCAAAUCAAUUUUUCUAAAAUACUAGGCCAUAUUUAAUGUACAAUUGACCAAAUGGUUGGGUGUUAAAGGCUUUUAUCGACCUCCCGUGAAAAAGACAAAUUUUAGUUGAAUCAAUUGGAAGCGGGUCAAAUUUGAACUGCAGCUAUAUUAUAGUUUGCGCUUUAUUUUUUCCAAAAAUCAUUUCUAGGUACACAAGUAUCUAUUUAGUUAAAAAAACACCAAAAUGUUUCCAAGAUUCAACCACUAGGUAGGAACGGUCAUGCCUGCUGUUUUGACCGCAUUUUGAAAUGGCCAUGAAAAAUCAAAAACAAAUUCAAAAAAAUGGAAAACCUUUGCAUUGUUUAAUUAUAUGUGACAAAGUUACCAGGAAAAACAAUAAACUUCUAAUUCGACAAUUAUUUUAAAAAAGUGUUCUUCGAAAUUGGCUAUCAUGUGUCAAGAUUCAUGACUUUCAAGCCAAAUGAUCAAUCUUAUGUUCACAUUCAUGACAUAGCUUGUUGAAAUAAUAAAAUAUUAUGCACAAGGGUGCAUAUUGGAAUGGCAAACAAUGUUGAUUAAGGAAGUUUUCAUUUUCCUUUUUUGUAAAAAUCAUUUUCCAUUUUUCAAGUGCCCAAAAUGAAUUUUUUGUGAAGGACCUACCAAAUCAUUUUUCUAAAAUACUAGGCCAUAUUUAAUGUACAAUUGACCAAAUGGUUGGGUGUUAAAGUAUUUAUCGACCUCUCGUGAAAAAGACAAAUUUUAGUUGAAUCAGUUGGAAGCGGGUCAAAUUUGAAUUGCAGCUACAUUUUAGUUUGCUCUUUAUUUUUGCCAAAAAUCAUUUCUAGGUACACAAGUAUCUAUUUAAUCAGAGAAACACCAAAAGGUUUCCAAGAUUCAACCACUAGGUAGGAAUGGUCAUGCCCGCUGUUUUGACCGCAUUUUGAAAUGGUCAUGAAAAAAUUAAAAACAAAAUUCAAAAAAAUGGAAAACCUUUGCAUUGUGUCAUUAUAUGUGACAAAGUUACCAUGAAAAAAAUCAAAAAAAUGGAAAACCACUUGUAUUACGACAAUCAUUUUUAAAAAGUGUUCUUAGAAAUGGGCUAUCAUGUGUGAAGAUUAAUGACUUUCAAGCCAAAUGAUCAAUCUCAUGGCCACAUUCAUGACAUAGUUUGUUGAAAUAAUAAAAUAUUAUGCACAAGGGUGCAUAUUGGAAUGGCAAACAAUGUUGAUUAAGGAAGUUUUCAUUUUCCUUGUAUGUAAAAAUCAUUUUACUUUUUUCAAGUGCCCAAAAUGAUUUUGUUUUGUGAAGGACCUACCAUAUAUUUGUUUCGAAAUUGGACCAAAUCAUUUUUAUAAAAUACUAGACCAUAUUUAAUGUAAAAUUGACAAAAUGGUUGGGUGUUAAAAGAUUUUAUACACCUCUCGUGAAAAAGACAAAUUUAUGUCAAAUCAGGUGGAAACGGGUUAAAUUUGAACUACAGCUGCAUUAUAAUUUGCUCUUUAUUUUUUCUAAAAAUCAUUUAUAGGUACAUAAGUAUCUAUCGAAAUAGAAAUACAUGGUGUGGUGGCUUGACGUCGAGGUUUGGAUGGUGGUCGAGGGCCCCAACUCCAGAGCGCGUGAACUUGAAUGCCAGCCGCAUGGUCACCGCCUGACCGUUGCGUUGCCACGCGUUCUGGGUGGAAUAGGCAUGUCUGGUGGGUUGGAGAGUCCCUUGGUAGGUUCUAGGAAAAAAGAAUACAAUAGAAGAAUCUAACGAGGAGACCGAAUUAAGCUCAGACAUGAAUUAGUAGCCAAGUAUUUGAUUAGCGGUGUGGGUAAUGCACAUAGACAUUGGGCCUAAAUUUUGGUUGAGGAUGAUGCACUAGUAGAAAACAAGGCUACCGUUCGGCCCUGGCCAGCCCAUUAGUCCCGGUUCUUCAAGAACCGGGACCAAUGGGGGUAUUAGACCCGGUUCGUGAGCCCAGGGGGCCGGCCUGGGCCUCGUGGCCAUUGGUCCCGGUUCGUGUGGAACCAUUUGUCCCGGUUCGAGCCACGAACCGGGACCAAUGGUCCUCGCUACUGGCCCACAACCUUUAGUCGCGGUUCAUGCCACGAACCGGGACAAAUAACUUGCCUACAUAUAUACCCACCGCCGCGGUAGAACACUCCACAGUGCUCUGUUUUUGUCGAGCCGGCAAGGGGAGGGCAUUUGGGUGCUCUAGUUCACCUCCUAUGCACAUGAGGUGUUCGAUGAAAUGCCCGAGCCACACUAGUUAAGCUUUCUCCUCUCGCAACUCGACCUCCGAGCUCCAUUUUCAAUGAGACUUGUCUAGAUUUAGCAGUCCGUCACGCCCCGUCCCCGCCCCGUCUUCACCGCCGUCGAUCGCCCGCGCCGAUCUCGUCACCGGCACCACCGUGGUGAGCCUCUUGUUCUUAUCUUUUUUCUGAAAGAAAAACAUUCUGACUUCAGAUAGAUACUUGUCUAAUUUUCUUACUUUUAUUAUUCCUUGUUAUUAUAUAGUGCGAUGGUUUUGGUAUCCGCCCCUGUCGGCCCUCGUCCUGUCUAUGAUUCAGAUGUGGUAUAUAUUAUCUUUCGAUAACUAUUUGGUUCAUUUAUUGUUUAUGACAAUUAUGAUGACCAACGUGACAUAUAUUUUUAAUCUAGGAGGUAUGUGAACCGGAAAUUCCAACCCACCUAGAAAUGCUUCUCAAGAAGUUAACUUUGGUUGAAAAAGAAAACAAAUACUUGAAGAAAAAAUUGAAAAUAAUUGAGGAUAAGAAUAUGGAAAUGGAGUUGCAUGUUGCCGAGGUCAUUGACGAUCACAAGAUGAAGAUCAAUGCGAUGCGGUUGAAGAUGGAUGCAAUGCGCUUGAAGAUGGAUGAAAUGCGCUUGAAGAUUAGGAAUAUUAGAGAGCAAGCACGGAGAUAAGAGAGGACACUUCUCUCUAUUCAUUAGCUAGCUAACACAAUAUAUGAAACACCUAAAUUAACCCCCCAAAACCCCCCCUUCAAAAAAAACCAUCACCUGAAAUGCUGACGCGUGGAUGCCUUUUGGUCCCGAUUGGUGUCACCAACCGGGACUAAAGGCCCCCCUGCCCGGGCUCGCCGCACUGGCCACGUGGAGGUCCAUCUGUCUCGUUCCGUGUAAGAACCGGGACUAAAGGCCAAGGGCAUUAGUAACGACCUUUUAGUCCCGGUUCCGAAACCGGGACAGAAGGCCCUUACGAACCGGGACAAAAGGCCCUUUUUCUACUAGUGAUGAUCUAGUAAGGAGACGGUCUUGGUAAAUUUUUAGCUCAAAUGGAUGAACCUAGGUGGCACUUGCUUUGCAAAGUAAAACAGUGUGCAAAAAUAUGGAUGUUGAAGCUGGUAUCAAAUUAAUGAAUGGACUGAGCUUAAAUUUGGUGUAUGAUGUUAAUUUGGGCAUAUGAAGGCACUGUAAAAAAAUUAUACCAUUUGGACAUGCCAAAGUGACACUUCCUUCACACUGUGCCAAUCUGGAUAGAAAAUGGUAAUUGAAACUGGGCUUACAUAGAUGAUUGGAUUGAGCUAAAAUUUGGAGGAGGAUGAUAAUUUGGGCACAUUAAGGCACUGUAAAAAUUUCAUAAAAUUUGGAUAAACAAAAAUUGUACUUCCUUCACAAUGCUCUCUACUGAACAGAAUAUUGGGAAAAAUAUUGAGGGAAACUGACUGAAUUAAAUGAGCUAAAACUUAGUGGAGUGAGGUUAUAUGGUCAGUUUUAUUACGUGGUAAAUUUUCAUCAACUAUAAAGCAAUAUAAAAUGUAGUUGCUUCACAAACUGAAAAUAUUACUAGAAACAAAUAUUGGAUGAUGAGCUCACAUGGAUUGUUAUAUGGGUCUAAAAUUUUGUGGAGAGCUAUGUUUUGGGCACAUAGAAGAUGUGGAAAAAAUUCAACUCAUUAGGAUAUUCCUAUCUAGUACUUCCUUCACAAAGCUGUUAGCUGAACACAAACUUUGGAAAUUUGUUGAGAAAUAUUUACUAGGAAAAUGGUUAUGAAAGUUUUCAUGAGGCAAUGAUUUGGAUAGGAAAGAGUGCUCAAAAAAUUUGAGGGUAAUCAAAGAAACAGAAAUAGCACUUCCUUCACAGAGUGCUAUUCUGAACAGAAUAGGAAAAUGAAUAUUUCUGAAUUAUUUUCAAACUAUGGAAGGAAGGUUUUCACAUAUUUGAGGAAUACAUGAUCCAAAGUAUUUAUGAAAUUACUUCAAGAAUUUUUGGAAUGACAGAAUAAUAGGUUGCUUCACAAACUAGCCAAAAGUUCACACAUGGACAUGACACAUAGGCAAAACUGAUUGGAAGGACGUGGAUGUCGCCUAGAGGGGGGGGGUGAAUAGGCGCUUUAAAAUAAUUAAGGUUUAGGCUUGAAUAAAUGCGGAAUAAAACUAACGUUUAAUUUGUCAAGCACAAAACCUACAAAUAACUAGGCUCACCUAUGUGCACCAACAACUUAUGCUAAGCAAGAUAAACAACUAAGUGAUAGCAAGAUAUAUUACAAUAAACAAUAUGUCUAUCACAAAGUAAAGUGCAUAAGUAAAGGGUUCGGGUAAGAGAUAACCGAGGCACGAGGAGACGAUGAGGUAUCCCGAAGUUCACACCCUUGCGGAUGCUAAUCUCCGUUGGAGCGGUGUGGAGGCACAAUGCUCCCCAAGAUGCCACUAAGGCCACCGUAAUCUCCUCACGCCCUCGCACAAUGCAAGAUGCCGUGGUUCCACUAAGGGACCCUUGAGGGCGGUCACCGAACCCGUACAAAUGGCAACCCUUGGGGGCGGUCACCGAACCCGUACACGUGGCAACCCUUGGGGGCGGUUACCGGUACCCGUACAAAUUGCUUGGGGCAAUCUCCACAACCUAAUUGGAGACCCCGACGCUUGCCCGGAGCUUUACACCACAAUGCUUGAGCUCCAAGACACCACCAAGCUUCUAGGACGCCAAAGCAUCCACGAAGAACAAUAUCUAUGGUACUAAGUACCAAAGGUAAUAAGCUUCUCAAACUUCACUUCCAUGUAUCACCGUGGAGAACUCAAACCGAUGCAACCAAUGCAAUGGCAAGAACACACGAAGUGGUCAAGUCCCUCAUACUCAAAUCCCUCCACAACAACGAAAGCUAUGGAGAAAUAUGAGAGGAAGAACAAGGAGCUCACAAAGAACUCCAAGAUCUAGAUCCAAGGGGUUCCCCUCACAUAGAGGAGAAAGUGAUUGGUGGAGAUGUGGAUCUAGAUCUCCUCUCUCUUUUCCCUCAAGAACAAGCAAGAAUCAUUGGAGGGAUUGAGAGUAAGCAAGCUCUAAGAAUGUCAACAAUGGAGGUAGAACAAGAGCUCAACGGAUGGAUAAGACCAAGGGGGAAGAAGACCCCCUUUAUAUAGUGGGGGAAGGAAUCAGACCGUUACCCCCACUUACAGCCCGAGCCCAGCGGUACUACCGCUGGCUCUAGCGGUACUACCGCUGACCCUCCAGCGGUACUACCGCUGGCUGCAGCGGUACUACCGCUGACCCUCCAGCGGUACUACUGCUGGCUGCAGUGGUACCACCGCUGAGCCCAUGGUAGCGCAAAGAUACUACCGAGCCAACCACCGCCAAGAAAGUCUUCACAAAAAUGUCUGACACAGUACAACCGCAAAGAUGACGGUACUAAAAGCUUGGAGCGGUACUACCGCUUACCAGGGGCGGUACUACCACUGGGACAGCGGUACUACCGCCAGCUCUAGCGGUACUACCGCUAGGGCCAGCGGUACUACCGCCAACUCUAGCGGUACUACCGCUCGCCACUGAAACAGCCAUAACUUUCGCAUACGAGCUCCGAAUCGAGCAAACCCAAGCUUGUUGGAUUCAGGACGACAAGAGCUAUCCAAACAGCAAAUGCCAAUGAUAUAGAGAUGUGAGUCCUCUAUGAAUGAAGAACCGGCAAAAACUCCAACAUCGAAAACAUCAUAAUAGAUGCAUAUGGACUCCAUUUUCGAUAAACUUGAGCUUGUCAUGAAGAUGACCAUAAGCUCUAAAACUCACAAAGAGAAACACCAAACAAGAACCAAGAAGUAUGAUGCAAGGAUGCAAAUGGUUUGAGCUCUCAACGAACGAUACGAUCAAGCUACUCACCUAAGAGCCCCUUUGAUAGUACAGCAAUCUAUCCUAACCAGGAAACCUAUCAAGGGCAAACCUAUACCUUGCACCUCGUCCUCUUGAGCUAGAUGAUGAUGAUCUUGGCUUCCUCAAGAUGGACCACCUUUCUUGAUUGCGUUGGCUUGAUGAAGACCAGUUGCUUGCUCCCCCAUACUUACUAUGGGUGAGCCACUCUUCAACAUAUCUUCACAAGUCCAUUGCCACCACAAUGGAUGGCAAGCUUCAAGCAUGAUAUCUUCGUGUUGAUCCACUUGAACUUGCACACCACAAUCUUGAUGACGAUCACCACUUGACGUCAUCCUUCAUGGGUUGUAUGAGAUCUUCCUUUUGACGCAAGCCCAUGUAAACACACCUAACCCACACAUAGAACUGUCAUGAAGACCAUGGGUUAGUACACAAACACGUAAUGGACAAUGCUUACCAUACCAUGGGAUUACUUGAUCCCUCUCGGUACAUCUUGUACGCUUUGUGUGUUGAUCAUCUUGAUUUACUCUUUGUCUGAGAUCUUGAUCAACCUUGUGUCUCUAUGACCAUUCUUUGGAUAAUACCUUGAAUACCAUCUUGGUCAUCAUAUAAACUCCUUGAACCCAACAGAUGGACUUCAAGAAGUGCCUAUGGACAAAUCCUAUAAAUAUAACUUUAGGAACCAUUAGUCCAUAGGAAUUGUCAUCAAUUACCAAAAUCACAUAUGGAGAUAUAUGUUCUAACACUGAUGAUGUGGCAACUAGUCGUAGAUAUGGCCAUCUAUAUUGGUCGUAAUUAGCUACAAAUUAGGCAUCGGAACAGGGCUAUUCGCUUUACGACCAUUUCCAGUAAGGAAGUUACGACCUUUUUGAUGAAAAUGGUUGUUAGUUUUUGGGGUUAGGACCCCUCCGGAUAUCUUACGACCAAUUGGUCUCAAAUGGUCAUAGAUUUACGACCAAUUCUACGAGUGUCACUGACAGAAGGUCGUUAGUUGACAUAUUUCUUGUAGUGGGUGAUAACCUUAGAUAUAAUAAUACCGACUGUGAUCAUUGGGCUUAUUUUACCUUCUGAUGUAUCUUCAUUUUUGUAUACGGUGCUUUCCCGAGAUGCUCACAAGAUUAGCAAUAGCAUGAUGCAUGAUACAAAGGAGGGAAAUUAACACAAUUGUUUAUUAGACCCUAUUAUAUGGGUUUUAUGCUCAGUUUUGAUACUUCGAUGGUCCAACAAUCUUAGUACUUUUGCAGAAGGAAAGAAGUCCCUACAGCUGUUCAAAAGAAAAACUAUUUCUAGAUAAUUGAAGGCCUUGCAUUUAUUAUAUCAAUCAUGUGUCCUGUUUUGGUUUUUUUCAUGUGGUGUGUGUUUCCUAUCGAUAUAGCCGGAGUUGGGAUUGGGGGGGGGGGAGAUGGCAGCGUAUGUGUAAUUGUAUUGACUGAGUGGCGCCUUUGCAUACUAGUUCAAACCUACCAAUGCCACAUUUCUUUUGAAGUUUUUAAUUGGAAGGUUAAUGAAAGAUGGUAGGAUCCAGUCAUUCAAUUGCAAUACCUAUUUAUCCAUGCUUUUCUUGCAAGAAUAUUGGAACCAUCUCUGAUCUCUUAAAUAACACAUGUAAAUUUAUAAAUUGAAAUAUUUUUUUUCGUUUCAGUACUUGGGCAUAUCGAAGGCGAUGGAUCGAGGUUGGAUGAGUCAACCA